UACGGGGGGGGGCAAGCGUUGUUCGGAAUUACUGGGCGUAAAGGGCUCGUAGGCGGCCAACUAAGUCCGACGUGAAAUCCCCAGGCUUAACCUGGGAAUGGCAUUUGGGACUGCAAGGCUUGAGUGCGGCAGAGGAGACUGGAAUUCCUGGUGUAGCAGUGAAAUGCGUAGAUAUCAGGAGGAACACCGGUGGCGAAGGCGGCUCACUGGACCGACACUGACGCUGAGGCGCGAAAGCGUGGGGAGCAAACAGG
rnacentral:rRNA from 1 species